rnacentral:lncRNA from 1 species
CCAGACAACAACCAUUCUAUUUUAUAGCAUAUUAAGCAGACCAAUUUAAACGAACAAAAUGCCUGGACCUUGUAACUGCAUUGAAAGUAAGUAGCAAACAUAUAUUUAAAUUUUUAAUUGGAAAUCUAACUUGAAAUAUAACGUGGUUGAUUAUUGAACGGAAAUUUUAGUAUAUGAAAAAAAAAUUAUAAGUGCAUUUGAAAAAAAAUGAAAGAUAGAGGUUAUAAUAUAAAUGUACAUUCGUCUUCUUACUUUGACAACCUCCCGCUUCAUCUACUAAUUACUGCUAUACAACUAUUUAAUUUUCUGAGGGUGACCAGAAGUAUUGGUAGUUUUUGCGGAUUAAAUAUUCAUUUUCAUCUGUUUCUACGCACGCAAUUUUAUCACAGCCUUACCGAGGCAAAAUAUUCAUUUUCAAAAUGCUUCUGCCUCCUUCCGUAGAUCAAAUGAUCGCUGUCUCACCUAGAUGUCGUUGAUGGUCUGCGUGCAAUAUAUGUAAUUAUAACCUUGAAUAUUAAGGUAAACUGCCUGGUAACAAAUAUCAAAUAUUUGCCAUUUAUAGUGGAUUCAUUACUAUUCGUUGGAUACCAAUUUUCAUGGAUUUCGUGGGUAAAUUACGAAAUAAAAUGUUCAACGAAUGACAAACUUUAUACAGGCUUGUUUGCAUACCUCGGCAAUACAGGGCCGUAACUAGCCUCUUCUAAUAGUGAGGCAAAAUAUAUUUUGGCGAGGGGUCGGAGGGCCGCUCAAGGCCCCCUAAAGCUCUGAGAAAAAUAAGGCAAAAUCGUGCAUUCUGGACUCUUUCUGACAUUGAAACGCAAUUGAUUUUUAGCUAUUUUUGCGACAAUAUUCUGAUCUCAAAGCAAAAACUUAGAUUCAUUGUAAUUUACGACUUUUAGGUUUUAUGGACAACAUUAAAAGACCGAUAUGUAGGAUAAAGCAAAAAUCGUAGUUCUCAUAAUCAUUAAUACCGGAUCUGUCUGUCUGUUCUUGUCUUGUAUUGUGCUUAGACUUUGGUGAUUUUGUUAUGACUAAAUUUAAAUAUAGUGACAGUACAGUAUUAAACUUUAAGUACUAGUACUGCUUAAGUCGACACUAGGGAACAUCUUGACCCUGUUUUACGGUAUUAAUGAUUCUUUUAUUGUUGCGGAAGACCCUCCAGCAACUUUGACCAUUGACCAUUUGUAUUUUUAUCUAUGCAUUGACUUUGUUGUGCGAUUAGGUUUCGUGCACAUUUACUCCAUAUUCCUUUAUUUUCUGUUAAAGGGUCUGGACAUGACUUACUGCAAGUUUAACCCUUCAAUGGGAAAGGUCAUAUGGCAAUACAUUAUUGUUUUUUUUUUCAAAUUAUUUGAUACAGGGAAAAUUGGUGACCUUACUUUAAUUUAAAUCAUGUCAGCUAUCUAGUUUUAUAUACCAAAAUAAGGCCAGUUUUCUAUUCUUUGAUAUCAACUUCUCCAUGCAGAAAAGACAUUUUUUCUGUGUCUUAUAGCAUCGUAUAUUCUUAAAAUAUUAGCUCGCACAAUAUCGAUAUCUGGACAUCGGUGGGCAUGCAACAUUGCAAAACCACACGUUUACAAAUGAAAAUCAACACUCAGACUAUAGUCAUAAAGUAGAACAAUACAUGAACAAAAGACAAAUCCGGGACACAGAAGUACAAACAAUAGACCAUCAACUCUGAAAACUAAAAGUAAAAUAGAAACAUGGAUCACGAAAAACAUGCAAGGGCGACACCAAAGAGUGAAGAGGACUUGCUUUUUGCUAGACACUUUCCGUGAUAUUAAGACAAUCUUUUGUUUUAUUUAUUAAUUAUUAUUUUUUUUUAAUUUCGUUUUCAUUGAGGCAUUUGCCUCAUUUGCCUCAAUGUAGUUACGGCCCUGCAAUACCACGAAAUUAAGUGUUCACGAACAUACAAGUUUUCCUUUAUCCACGAACAUUGGUACCCACAAAAAAAAAAUGAAUCCACAAUAUAUAAUACAAGUGAAAGUUAAAAGAUUGAUUGUGAGUCAAUUGAAAUCACUAAUAUGGCUUUUUUACUUUAUGUGUAGCAAACGUGUGUAUCUGUGGUACUGGAUGCAGCGGGAAAUGUUGUCAAUGUGGAGACGCAUGUAAAUGUGCAAGUGGAUGCGGAUGUUCUGGAUGUAAAGUUGUUUGCAGAUGUCCUGGUUUGUUCAUUUUUACAGUCCACUUUUUUAAAUAUUCAUUUUAUUUCCACUUUUUUAAAUAUUCAUUUUAUUUAGAUAAUUUUAAUUUUAACAAACAUUUUUUUUUCAUUUUCAGUAACUGCUUUAAAUUGGAUAUGUGUAGAAAGUAAAACUAAAUGAUGAUAUGCUGAAUCAUUUCCCGUGUUAUUGUUUUAUUUAGUGCAUGUUUGCUUGUGUCUUGACCUUUAUUUCAGUAUGAAAAUCGUCAUAUUACAAAAUCCUACUUCAUUAACUAAUGAACCGACCAUUUUUUCCUUGUAAAGGAAAAAUUUACAAUUUUACUAAUAUCGAAACACAAGUUUCAGAAAGGAAGUUGAAAAUGAAAUAUUUUUACAUGCUUCUGUUUAUAUAUGUAUUUUUUUAAAUUAUGAAAAUACAUAGAUAUGGUUUGGUUUGUCACGAGCGAAGAUAGCAACAUUACCCGACAAUGAAUAAAUUGUCGGUACCUAAAAUUUUAUCAUGUACUAUAAACUGUUUCAAUAUUUGAAGUGAAAAUUGCAUAAACGGUCAAAGGUGAUUUUAUUUGCAUAGUCACUAAUAACAUAUUAUCGAUCCAUGUUUUUUUUUUCAAUAUGGCAACUUCUAAGAAACAUUGUUUCAAUUCUCACUAGCAUAAUCGAUCCAUCGCUCUUUAUAACAUCAAUCAUUGAAAUGUUUUGUUGUCUACAAUAAAACAUAUACUCAUUAUGUUAAAAUAUCUAUUCAAAUGAGUUGUUAUUAUGUUUCAGGUACGUGCGCGUGUGGAUGUGACUGUACUGGUCCAACAAACUGCAAAUGUGAAUCUGGGUGCUCUUGCAAGUGACAUAAAGACAAUUACAUCACGUUCAAUAUAGACAUACUUGUAACUCAUAUCAUUCAUAAAAGAUUGCGUGAUGUUCAUUGAUAUCAAAUAAACAAAUUUU